rnacentral:lncRNA from 1 species
GCUCGGCGGAAAACCCCCAAUUUCCAAGAAGUACUUGCAUAAAAAAGAGAAAUAUUCCGGCCAGAAAGCCGUUGCAGUCCCAUCUGCUCAAGGACAUACACUUACUCUUCGGAAUGCUGACGAAAUCUGUCUCAAAGAGUCGUCGGGAGACAGAGUGAAUCACUUACGCCAAGUGCGGCGCGCGAGGCCUGGCAUCAAGGAGUCCCGCGGGUUCGACCGCAACGGCUCGGGAACCGCCGGCGUCCGCGUCCACAGCGCCGCCCGUCCGGCCGGAGCUGCCUCCGGCUCCAGCGUCCGACCUCCCGCCGUAACCCGGGAACCAGGUGAGCCUAGGGACCCGGGGAGCCGCCCGGGGCCGGGGCUGCAGGUGGUGGCGGCGGCGGGGCCCGGGCUCCGGCGUUGGGGGCGGGGACCACUCCCCCCCACCCCCGCGUUACACUCGGAAGUCCCCGGGCCACUGUCACCGCAGGGUCAAGCUCGUCGAGGGCACUCAGUCAGCGUUUGCGGAAUGAAUGAAUGACGGUCGUCCCUGGGAGCUUUCUCUUCGUGCGGUCCCUGCUUUUGAAAAUCCAUGAGGAAAGACGGCGCGUGCGUUUGGCAGGCUGACUCCUUCCACACUCGUUGGUUUGAGUUGCCAUAAGCCCCAGAACUGGUCUGCUGCCGGAGUCUCCCCCUGAUCAACACACCCCGCCGCCAUCCUCCUCCUCCCGAGGCUUGACUGCCCAGUUGCGCGCCUUCUGCUUUUUAGACCUCACUGCUGCUGUUCUUCGGAGAAGGCAAUGGCAACCCACUCCAGUACUCUUGCCUGGAAUAAUCCCAUGGACUGAGGAGCCUGGUAGGCUGCAGUCCAUGGGGUCGCGAAGAGUCGGACACGACUGAGAGACUUCACUUUCACUUUUCACUUUCAUGCAUUGGAGAGGGAAAUGGCAACCCACUCCAGUGUUCUUGCCUGGAGAAUCCCAGGGACGGGGGAGCCUGGUGGGCUGCCGUCUAUGGGGUCGCACAGAGUCGGACACGACUGAAGAGACAUCAGCAGCAGCAGCAGCAGUAGCUGCUGUUGUUGUUCCUUAUAACUGAGCCCCCACUCCAGCAUCUCGUAGCCCUUUCUGUUCCUUUCAGGUUCUGUUGAUGGAUCGCAGCAACCCCUUCUCCAACAUCCCCACCCCAACAAUGAAUUUCUCUCCAACCAGCCCAUUGGUAAUACUCUCACCAGGUCGCAUUAAAGGCAGUUGUUUGUGUGUUGGAUGGUCAGCUCCUUGAGGGCUGUCCUCUGAUCAUUCAUCCCCAGCCACUAGACCAAGUGACGGAAAGGUACUGCAAGCAAUGCCCUUUGCUCAUGACUUUCUUUUUCACAUACAUUCCACCAUAAAAGCGUAGUUAGAAUGGGCAAAGGCCUGUUUUUUCCUGAUGGAAUUACAAAUAUUUAUUUUGAAAUUCUGAAAGUGAAUUUUACUUUCCCACGAUUAUAGAGAACAUGUGAAAGUUGACCAUAUGAAAGGAUAAUCUUGAAGCUAAGUUUCAGGAUUUCACAUCAAUUGGGGUAAUAGAAAAUUGGGUUGAAUUGGGUUGUAUUUAAAUAUUUAACUCUUGGCUUUUAAAAUACGUUUAGCACCUUAUGUAAAAGAAUCAGUGGAUGGCUGGAUGGAUAGGGGUAGUAUGGGGAUGAAGGAGCUAGGUCAAAAGUAUAUUAACAGUGCCCCAAAUUUGAUCCUGAUUGUCCAACUGAAUAAAGAUAAUUAGCUACAUUUACA